GAUGAACGCUGGCGGCGUGCCUAAUACAUGCAAGUCGAGCGAAUGGAUUAAGAGCUUGCUCUUAUGAAGUUAGCGGCGGACGGGUGAGUAACACGUGGGUAACCUGCCCAUAAGACUGGGAUAACUCCGGGAAACCGGGGCUAAUACCGGAUAACAUUUUGAACCGCAUGGUUCGAAAUUGAAAGGCGGCUUCGGCUGUCACUUAUGGAUGGACCCGCGUCGCAUUAGCUAGUUGGUGAGGUAACGGCUCACCAAGGCAACGAUGCUUAGCCGACCUGAGAGGGUGUUCGGCCACACUGGGACUGAGACACGGCCCAGACUCCUACGGGAGGCAGCAGUAGGGAAUCUUCCGCAAUGGACGAAAGUCUGACGGAGCAACGCCGCGUGAGUGAUGAAGGCUUUCGGGUCGUAAAACUCUGUUGUUAGGGGAGAACAAGUGCUAGUUGAAUAAGCUGGCACCUUGACGGUACCUAACCAGAAAGCCACGGCUAACUACGUGCCAGCCGCCGCGGUAA
rnacentral:rRNA from 1 species